UACAGAGGGUGCAAGCGUUAAUCGGAAUUACUGGGCGUAAAGCGUGCGUAGACGGUUACAUAAGUCGGGUGUGAAAGCCCCGGGCUCAACCUGGGAAUUGCAUUCGAGACUGCGUAGCUAGGGUGCGGAAGAGGGAAGCGGAAUUUCCGGUGUAGCGGUGAAAUGCGUAGAUAUCUGGAGGAACACCGGUGGCGAAGGCGGCAUCCUGGACCGGCAUUGACGCUGAGGAGCGAAAGCCAGGGGAGCAAACGGG
rnacentral:rRNA from 1 species